GGAAGGUGGAUCAUGUGGGGCCUUGGAGGCCACCAUAAGGACUUCAGAUUUUAUUCUGGGACAAGAGGGAAGCCACUGGUGUGUUCUGAGAAGAGAUAAGAUCAGCCAGGAGAACUCCUUCUAGUCCUGGUGCUGCCACACACCCGCCAUGACCCUUGGGCAUAUCUUUGCUUUAGGGGUGAGAUGAGUGGCUGGAUUGGGGUGUUUCAAAGGCGUAUUCUUAAUUCCAAGGUGUUAGAUGCAGACCACCCCAAGCAAACUCUUCACCAGUUUCUCUGUCUACCACAGAAAGUGCCAUGGCUCCCUGGCUAACAUUUCAUUUUCCUCACUGUCCUUUCCCAGUUUGCCCCAGAGGCAAACCCAGGUCCCCAGGUGCAUCUGGAAAUGAGAGCCAGGGGUACUGGGAGAGAUGGCUGAAUUCCUUGGCUCGCCCAUGGGAGCUGAGUGCAGCUCUUUCCAAGGCAAUGACUUCUCCUGGCUGGAACCAACAGUAGAGCAGUCUCCACGCUUCUCAUCUCUCCCUGCAGAGGAGCAAGACCACCUUCCUCUUAUUGUCCCAUGCAGGAUAAUUUUCCAUGUGGUGUGUUCACAGGGUCUCAUCCUCCACCCGUGUUUCCCAAAGGCAGAGAUUUAAGGUGAUAUAAGCACAUGGCAUUAAAUGAAAUUUAAUCAUAUAAUGAAAUGUUACACUUUGUUUAUCCAUAAGGGUAAGUGGUCAAAAACAAAGUCUCAGUUUGGUGGGAAUGAGUAUGUAGCCUGUAACAACAGUCUCCCUUUUUAUCAAAGAGAAAGCAGGAUGUAGGCUCAGCUCUUUGACAGCUGGCAAGAGGAUCUGGUGAGAUGGUAGUAACAUUGCUUGGGCUUCGCUGACUUUAUUUUCAUGCUUGGCUAUCUCCCAUUUAUUGUAAGUGAUGCCAAUUUUUCUCUUAGGCUUAUAAUAGCAACUAUACUUUAUAAACAAAUGAAUCUAAAUUGAGAAGUGAGCGAUUUUAAAGAAACAAUUUAAGUAAAUAACAGCAGAGAUAAUACACAGAUAUGGAAGAGUCUGCGAAGGUGAGAAAUACUAUAUUGCUCCUGGAAGCUUAUCAAAGUAUUUUUUCCUAAGGAA
rnacentral:lncRNA from 1 species